rnacentral:rRNA from 1 species
GACGAACGCUGGCGGCGUGCUUAACACAUGCAAGUCGAACGGAAAGGCCCUGCUUUUGUGGGCUUCUCGAGUGGCGAACGGGUGAGUAACACGUGAGUAACCUGCCCUUGACUUUGGGAUAACUUCAGGAAACUGGGGCUAAUACCGGAUAGGAGCUCCUGCUGCAUGGUGGGGGGUGGAUAGUUUCGGCGGUUGGGGAUGGACUCGCGGCUUACGAGCUUGUUGGUGGGGUAGUGGCUUACCAAGGCUUUGACGGGUAGCCGGCCUGAGAGGGUGACCGGCCACAUUGGGACUGAGAUACGGCCCAGACUCCUACGGGAGGCAGCAGUGGGGAAUAUUGCACAAUGGGCGGAAGCCUGAUGCAGCAACGCCGCGUGCGGGAUGACGGCCUUCGGGUUGUAAACCGCUUUCGCCUGUGACGAAGCGUGAGUGACGGUAAUGGGUAAAGAAGCACCGGCUAACUACGUG